CCAAUAGCGUAUAUUAAAGUUGUUGCAGUUAAAAAGCUCGUAGUUGAAUUUCGGGGUUCCACCGUUGGUCGGGCAAUAGUCUGUACUGGCGUGUGGAAUUUCUACCUUCUGGGGAACCAUCAUGUUAUUUAUUUAGCGUGGUGGGAAACCAGGACCUUUACCUUGAAAAAAUUAGAGUGUUCAAAGCAGGCUUAUGUCUGAAUACAUUAGCAUGGAAUAAUACAAUAGGACGGUGGUCCCGUUUUGUUGGUUUCUGAAUCACCGUAAUGAUGAAUAGGGAUAGUUGGGGGCAUUAGUAUUCAAUUGUCAGAGGUGAAAUUCUUGGAUUUAUUGAAGACUAACUUCUGCGAAAGCAUUUGCCAAGGAUGUUUUCAUUAAGCAAGAACGAAAGUUAGGGGAUCGAAGACGAUCAGAUACCGUCGUAGUCUUAACCAUAAACUAUGCCGACUAGGGAUCUGACGAUGUUAAUUUUUCUUGACUCGUACGGCGCCUUACG
rnacentral:rRNA from 1 species